UACGUAGGGGGCCAGCGUUGCUCGGAAUUACUGGGCGUAAAGGGUUCGUAGGCGGUGUGGCAAGUCGGGAGUGAAAUCUCUGGGCUUAACUCAGAGGCUGCUUCCGAAACUGCCGUGCUAGAGUGCGGGAGAGGCGAGUGGAAUUGCAGGUGUAGCGGUGAAAUGCGUAGAUAUCUGCAGGAACACCCGUGGCGAAGGCGGCUCGCUGGACCGCAACUGACGCUGAGGAACGAAAGCUAGGGGAGCAAACAGG
rnacentral:rRNA from 1 species